rnacentral:rRNA from 1 species
GACGAACCGUGCGAACGUUAUUCGGAAUCACUGGGCUUAAAGGGCGCGUAGGCGGCCGGGUUGGUCGUGGGUGAAAUCCCCCAGCUUAACUGGGGAACUGCCUACGAUACUGCCUGGCUCGAGGGAGGAAGGGGCGGUCGGAACUGUCGGUGGAGCGGUGAAAUGCGUUGAUAUCGACAGGAACGCCGGUGGCGAAAGCGGACCGCUGGCCCUCUUCUGACGCUGAGGCGCGAAAGCCAGGGGAGCGAACGGG